rnacentral:rRNA from 1 species
UAGUAAGCGGAGGAAAAGAAACUAACAAGGAUUCCCUUAGUAACUGCGAGUGAAAAGGGAAAAGCCCAGCACCGAAGCCCCUGCUUUAUAAAAAACGGAGCAGCGGGCAAUGUGGUGUAAGGGAGCGGUUUUCUUCCAUCUGGUUGCGGGAGCCUAAGUCCCCCUGACUGGGGCCAUCGCCCAUGGCGGGUGCAAGGCCCUUUUGUGCUCACCGUUUAAAACCUUUUGGUGGUCGGCCGUCUCUCAGGAGUCGGGUUGCUUGAAAGUGCAGCCCUAAGUGGGUGGUAAACUCCAUCUAAGGCUAAAUACAACCACGAGACCGAUAGCAAACAAGUACCGUGAGGGAAAGUUGAAAUAGAACUUUGGAGAGAGAGUUCAAGAGUACGUGAAACCGUUCAGAGGCAAACAGGUGGGACCUCGAAGGUCGAAACGGGGGAUUCAACCCGUCGCCAAUAAAGAACACGGACCAUUACUUUAAAAAAAACCCUCAAUGCGAGUAUAACGCUGGGCGCACCACGUACAACUCGUGAAAAAAAAACCACAUGGCCGUGUCUCUUGUCGUGCAACUACGGUUUACAUAUACGCAUGUAUGAGCUCGGACUAAUUUUUCCCAGUCCCCUGGGAAGGUUGCCGAGCAAACGGAUCGAAGGCUGGGUGUUGGAUUGCAACUUGUUGUUUUCCAUGCUUUAGCCAAGACCGGGCCGUAGAAAAAUCAAAAAAAGCCACAUUGCGAAGGUUUUACAAGGGUCCUUCGUAACUGUGAGUCCUUUUACUCUUGCUACGGCUGGUGGCGGGCGCACUUCCCCCUUAGUAGGACGCUGCGACCGGUUGGGAAAAAAUAAACACAAGGCAGCUAUGCGACGAGGCAUUAAACGAGGAAAGGUAUCCGUUGCCGGUCGGUCCAGACUCUAGCCUUCGGGCUGGUUUCUUUUUAAGUGGCUCCGGUCGGAAUUAUAGUCCUUGCCUUGGCCGAGCGCUCUGCCUCCCAACCGAACCAUAAAAUCUCAAGACCGAUGAUGCGUUGCUCGCGAUACAAUUCGCUCGCCAUCGUCUGGGAUAGCUGGGUUACAAAUUGCCGGCUGACGCCACAAAACUUGGGCGGCUGUUCGACGUUGUGCCUGCUAAACAUUCCCGUUGACGUAAUCUGGCGUAAUGGGCAAAAAACACGCUCGAGGUCGGCAGCGAGUAGGUCGGUAACCCACCUGACCCGUCUUGAAACACGGACCAAGGAGUCUAACAUGUACGCGAGUCGUAGGGUACUGCAAAACCCGAAGGCGAAAUGAAAGUGAAGGCCGGUACUCAUUUUUCGUACCCGUGCAAACGAGUCGAAAUUGGGGAAAGCUGUGGCGAGAUCCUUAAAAGGUUAGGUUUUCUUUACACCUUGUUCACAAAGGGAACAACUCCAAAGCGCUGCCCGUACACUCGGGUGGAGUAUGUCAACCCUGCUGUCGGUGACGAGGAAUCAUGUAAGAAAUCUUUCCUAUCCUCGAGUAUCGAUGAAAAGAACUCGGGGGGGCGCAUCGCCGGCCCGUCUAAAUCCGAUUUUUUCUUGCUUUUUUCGAUCACAACGUUUGUGGGGGUGUAAAAACCAACUCAACGUACAUUUCGUUAAUCGCUCGAUUAAAUAUAUUACCGGAUAGGGCGGAGCAGGAGCGUACACGUUGGGACCCGAAAGAUGGUGAACUAUGCUUGGGCAGGACGAAGCCAGAGGAAACUCUGGUGGAGGUCCGUAGCGAUUCUGACGUGCAAAUCGAUCGUCAGACCUGAGUAUAGGGGCGAAAGACUAAUCGAACCAUCUAGUAGCUGGUUCCCUCCGAAGUUUCCCUCAGGAUAGCUGGCGCUCAUACUGAUAAACACAGUCUCAUGCGGUAAAGCGAAUGAUUAGAGGCCUUGGGGUCGAAACGACCUCAACCUAUUCUCAAACUUUCAAUGCGUAAGACAUCCGGCUUUGCCUAAACGAAGCCCGGAAGUUUGGAUGCGAGUGCCCAGUGGGCCACUUUUGGUAAGCAGAACUGGCGCUGUGGGAUGAACCAAACGCCGGGUUAAGGCGCCCAAUGCAAUAAGACGCUCAUCAGACCCCAUGAAAGGUGUUGGUGCUAUGACAGCANNNNNNNNNNNNNNNNNNNNNNNNNNNNNNNNNNNNNNNNNNNNNNNNNNNNNNNUUCCAUGUGAACAGCAGUUGAACAUGGGUCAGUCGGCCCUAAGGAAUAGGGGAAACCCGUUCUGAAUAUUACCGGGGAAAAACAAACAAAAACUGACCAAACCAAAAAACACCCCGCGUAAUAUGACCGAAAGGGAAUCAGGUUAAUAUUCCUGAACCCAGAUGCAGAGACACGCCAACGUCCCACCGUCUCGUAAAAAGUAACAAAAAAGGCACAUACAAGAUAUUUCCCAUAAAAUGUGUAGUGCUAUACUUUAUGUGUGCGUACAAAAAAAAGUACGGGAAAAAUAUAUAACCAAUGUUUUGCGUUGUUGUUGCUGUUGUUGUUGUUGUGGUAGGCACUAGGUGAACGACAGACCAACCUUCCUUCGGGAAGAGGUUCUGGCUUAGUAAUCGUGCACACACACACGCACACACACGCACUCAUGGUUUAUACCGUACAAAAUAAGUGACCACACGCGUAUUCAUUUGCACGGGAAUAUUGGAAAGUGUUGUUAAAAAGCGUGGACGGUUUAAAUGGUGACGGAAUCUUUGGCAUUAUAAGCGGUAACGCGAACGAGCUCGGAGACGUCGGCGGAAGCCUCGGGAAGAGUUUUCUUUUCUUUGUAAAGGACGGACUCCCUGGAAUCGGCUUGCCCGGAGAUAGGGAUGUUGUUCCUGUAAAGCACCGCGGCUCUUGCGGUGUCCGAAGCGUUUCUGACCGGCCCUUGAAAAUCCGAGUGAGUUUAAAACAUAAAUGAUUUCUGCACUGGACCGUACCCAUAUCCGCAGCAGGUCUCCAAGGUGAACAGCCUCUAGUCGAUAGAACA